GACGUAGGGCGCGAGCGUUGUCCGGAUUUAUUGGGCGUAAAGAGCUCGUAGGCGGUGUGUCGCGUCGGCCGUGAAAACCUGCAGCUUAACUGUGGGCGUGCGGGCGAUACGGGCAGACUGGAGUACUGCAGGGGAGACUGGAAUUCCUGGUGUAGCGGUGGAAUGCGCAGAUAUCAGGAGGAACACCGGUGGCGAAGGCGGGUCUCUGGGCAGUAACUGACGCUGAGGAGCGAAAGCGUGGGGAGCGAACAGG
rnacentral:rRNA from 1 species